CCAUUACAGAAUCAAUAAAAUAAAGGGGCUCCGUGGAUUUCGCCAGACCCAGGGGAAGGCGAGGGAAAUAAGUAAAAACAUGGUCUCACAGGGACAGCUGCGGCCUCCGUGCACGGCCUGGCAGGGCUGCACUGCGUGGGCAAGCGUGCGUGCGUGCGUACGCAUGCGCAUAGCGUAGCCUUCCUGGGCGGGACCGGAACCCUGUGGUUGGCAAGGCGGAAGGCCUGCGGGUGCCCUGACCUCAGCGCGGUGCUCCCGGGAGGAAGCUGGCCCGGGAGUGUGGCCUGAUGUCACUUCUGUGUGGGAUGCGGCACAGUGGGGCGGGGAGGAGGGCGGUGGUCAGCAGGGCCGGGGGUCGCCGUUCCAGACUCGGGGUUGCAGAGGAGGCCGCAUGUUCUCGCCGCAGACGCGCUCCUGGUGACCGUCCUCCGUGACAUAUUCGCGGUCGGAACGUACGUGUCCAUCUGACCAGUGCACCACUUGUGUUUGUCUCUUGGAGCUCAGGAAGCCUGGGAGCCCGGCCCAGUGGCAGAACCGGGUUUGAAACUCAAAGGUCCACUUCGCCCUGCAGCGCCCCCCCGCCCCCCGGGUCUUAUCUUCACUGCCCCAGGUCACACUGCCUCGGGCCCUCCGUGCUCAGGGUGACCCGGGUCACCUCUGCCUGCCCGCCCAGUCUCAGGCUGCCAGAGGACGCAGACCUUCACAGGCACACCGCAUGGUAUGCGUGCUUGUCCUUCUUAACUUACUAAUAGUUUAUUAAAUGUGUCAAAGCUGGCAAAAGACUUACCCAGAAUCAUCUCAUUCGGAGAACAGAGCUGGCCAACAUCUGAAUAGGAUGCUACAUUGAAGAGUGACAACGUAGCCAGGUGUCAUGGCACAUGCCUGAAAUCCCAGCACCCUGGAGGCGAGGCAGGAGAAUCCGAAGUGUGGGCCCCGCCUAGGCCAUUGGUGACUCAUGUAGCUCAGUGUGGAGGUCUUGGGUUCAAUCCCCAGUGAGAGAGAGAGAGAGAGCAGCUAAACAAUUAAGGUAUAUAACUUAUAAUGUUAAAUAAUCAUCAGAGAGUGUGUUUUCAAAAGAUUUUCAUGACAUGGAGAAAGGGCUAAAAUAUACUACAUGAAAAGAAAGAUAAGACGAUAACAAUUUGAAAUACUUCACACAUUUAAUGAAUGCUGUGGACAUUUAUGAUUAGAAGACAGAAUGAAGUUAAAACCAAAGGAGGAGGAAGAAAGUGAUGGGGCACCAGAGGAAGUUCUGGAGCAGGCAGUAGGGAGAUAGCCCUGGGGGAGGCACACAGACAUACGGCUUCCAGCCCAGGGCAAAUCUGUGGGAGCAGUGAGCCCACUGUGGGGUUCUGUGACCUGGUUUGUGAUCUCUUCAUUUUUGUUUUGGGUUGUGCUGGGGAUUGACUGUUCGUGAUUCUUAGUGUUAGCAGGAACCCAGCAGAGGAACCCCCGCCAGAAUCCAGCUAACUCAGCAGCCCCUGGGAGACAGGUCCCCAGCCCCUCCUCCACCUGGAAGGAAACUGCCCGGGGACCAAGCCCCAGGAGCCCUACAGUGUGGUCACCCCACUGCCACAGCAAAAAGAGACCCAACAGGUUGGACCUGAAGCUGCCCGGGAGCCUCCCCUCCUCCCUCCUGCGCGUGCACCAAAGAGCUCAGAUUUGAGCCUAAAGUGAAAGCUCACGUCCUGGGAUCCCCGCAGUGGACUCCUGAGCUGCAAGGCACAAGGCCCCCAGUGUCUGUCCUUGACAGCCUCCCCCACCGACGUUUAGGGGCGAUGGAGGGAGGCACAGAGCACUGUCACAGAGGCGCCUGGCCCCUGUAGCAAGUUACAAGGUGAGGGUGAAUCAGAGCAAGACUGAGAAGCACUGCUUAACGGUAAGCAUCUGUGUGUGCUUGGUGUUGCAGAAAGAGCCAGGCAGAGCUGGGCGCCAUGGCACACACCUGUGAUCCCAGCACUCCGGAGGCUAAGGCAGCAGGAUCAUAGCUCGGGGCCAGCCUGGGCUACACAAUGAGACCCUGUCUCAAAAGGAAAAAAUGAAUGAAUGAAAAGAAAUACCGAGGCUGAGGUGAGAAGGGACUGGUUAUGGGGGAGAGUGCACUCCGUUGCUGGAAGAGAGCGUCCCUGCUAAGCUGGGAUAAGCGCUGUCCUUGGACUCUCUGGACCCUUGGCGGGUGUUACGUUUUGCAUAAUGCUUUUGUUAUGAACUUUUCUAAUGGUCUGACACAGAUUCGUCCAUCACGUCACCAUGGCAAUGCCACGACAUGGGUGUAUAUUGCAUCUUCAGAGGCACAGAAAGAACCACCCAGGAGAGCAGCUGGUUACAUACAUUUACGCAGUGAAUUGUAUUCGGUACUAGAGGACAGCCAGAGGCCACUGCAAGGAGCACCAUGGUGGAUGUGUACAUCCUGUGCUGUUGGGUUGCAGGGACAUGGCACCUACAGAUUCGAGGGUCCUGGGAGGGGCGUGAGCUCCAGGGACACCGAGGGACGGCUGGGUGCAUUGCUGGUGUCACUUCUGCAGAGAACACUGACCAGUACUGUGCUGGCUGGGCAUCCAGAAGUCUGCACAACCCCAAGGGGCUGGACAGAGAUUUUCCAAGUGGUUUUGUAUUCAAAAUAACCCCUUCUUUCAGGUCUCCAACCAGCAUCUAAAAAUAUCCAUAAAAAUACUUUCCACAGUUUUUCUACUCCUCACAAGAACCUCUCAAGAUGAACUACACUUAGUAAAUAUGGCAAUGUAUGUAGCAGUGGUGGCGAACCUAUGGGCACGAGCCACAGUAAGCUGUUUGUAUCAUUGAAAGCUCUAAAAGGUUUGCCAUCACAGGUGUAUCAGCAUACAGUUUUAUAAGUCAGUCUGUCUGUGUUUCUGUCUCUGACUCUGUCUCUCUCUCCCCCUCCCCUCCCCCUCCCCCUGCUGAGAACUGAACCCAGGGCCUCAGGGGUGCCAGCACCAUACCCCCAAGCUUCCCUCAGCUCUGUCCCUUACUACAGAUGCUCUCAUUUAUUCCUCACAAAAUCCUGAUAGCAAGUGGAGCUGCGAUUGCUCUCCUGCUCCGUGAGGACAACUCACAUCCCAGGGGACUCGGGAAAGGUCACACAGCCAUCUAUGCCAGGACCAGGACCAGGAGCAGCACCUACACCCACUGCAUCCUGGUGUGGGGAACCUCUGGAUAAGGACAGAGGCCUCUAUUCCUCAGGACCUCCAUGUCACUGACGCUGUCAUGCAGAACCCGAGACCCACAUUGAGAGGCUCUGGCGGCAGGAGGAGUUUGAAAGUGCUGCUUCAGUACUGCAGCAGCUGUGUUGGGGAGCGAAGCUGGAAGACCUCUCCCGCCUUCCAAGGGGCCCUGAGGGAGACUCCCAGCUGAGAGCAGGACUGAGACUGCUGAUUAACUGCGGUGAACAGGGAGGGUGAGGUCCUCGCUUCCAGUAGACUUUUAGCCCACUGUUGUAUUCCUGCCGCUUGUUCCUGAGGGCAGUGGAGGUGCAGCAGUCGAAAAGGUGGAACUGGGCCACAUAACUUGGGCAGUGAGCAGAAAGCAGGUGGCCUGAGGGGGUCCCUGCUGGAGAGCGUGGCCCAUGGAUGCGACACCAGGCAUGCAGCCCUGGGUUCUUCAGAGUGCAGGAUAGUCCCUCCCUUGGAGGCCUGAGGCCAGAGCUCUGUGCUGAGGAAAAGGGGCACAGGAGAUGGGACUCAGGACCUUCCCUGUGGGUGUGGGAGCUUAGGGGAGCCUGGACUCUGGUGGAGAGAAAGGUGGGCACUUCAGACAGCCAGACGACCUCCUCACGUGCAGGCUGGAGGGCUGGGGACUUCCCUGGGUCCCGAACCAUGGAAGAUGUAUGUGUGUCAGGUCCCAGAAAAGGACCUGACCUCCCACUCUCGGUCUCUCUGGGAACAUGUUGGGAUGUGACAAGUAGAAAGUGAAAUGAAAUCUUGGCACUUGGGAGGCUGAGGCAGGAGGAGUGCCCUGAUUUGGAGCCAAUUCUGGGCUACAGACUGAGUUCAAGGCCACUGGACUACACAGCGAGACUCUUGUCUCAAAAACAAAAAAGUGAAGGGAAAUGAAACCGUCAAAGUGACAGAACUGCACCUGGGAGAGAAAUGAUUUGUGCAAGCCACAGGAAAAUCUGUGCCUCUUUGCAAAUGCAAUUGUUUCCCUUCUGAUGAUUUCAGACCCCUGCCAGGGAACAUAGACUACAGCCAGGACAGAUCCUCGCUUUACCCGGAGUCUGGAUCCUGGUGACAUUCAUUCUGAUGGAGAACACAUAGGUAUCUCAGUCCCCAGAGCAGCCUGUAAUUAUUUCGUGUAUGAAAGUGUUUUUUAUACAUUUGACAUCAUCUGUUGUCAUUAAAAUAAACAUUGGCACACAGUAGGUUUGUGUAGUCAUGAUGGGCAGCUCAGUGUUUGAGGAACCAUCAACAGUGGAAUAAUCACACUGUAAAUAUUUAAGCUCUAUACUUAUUCAUUGUUUUGCUUCAGAAUCUACCAAAAAUGUAUUGCACUGCAGUAAUGUUGACAUUUUAAAAGGACCCUAACAUGGCAUGGUGGCCCACACUUGUAAUCCCAGCACUUGGAAGGCUGAGGCAGGAGGAUUGCCAAAAGUUCGAGGCCAGCCUGAAUUACAUGAUGAAACCUUGUCUGAAACAAGCAAAACAAAACAAAAGGACCUAGUUUUCAGCAUGAUGCCUUGUUUAAUAUGAAGUUGCUUUCUGUGACAGCUUUUAAAGAAUGACUGCAAUUCUGUUACCUCUAACAGGGUAAUGAAAAGUCCUUUUUAAUGUUUGAAAAAUUUAGCUCAAAAUAAAAAUCUUCUAUCCAAGUGAAAUAUUUGAAUACUAUGAGUCUGAUACAAAUGCAUAUUUGUUUGUGGGUUUGUUUUUUGACACAGCAUCUUGCUUUGUAAUCCAGGCUGGCUUUGAACUCACUGUGUUGCCCAGCAGCGAUCCUCCUGCCUCAGCCUCCCAAGUGCUGUAAUCAAAAGGAAAGCAUCAUUCUGGUCCUCAAGGACACAAAGUUGGGGCCCAGGGAAAUCUGCACUUACAAACCUAGUUAAACAAAUCCUUAUUCUCCUAGCUACAUCUCCACCCACUUAAGUCCCUAAGACAAGCCCUUCAGCUUAUCAUGGUUUCACAGUGUGCCACUUUGUCUAAUUCUAUAUAUAAACAUGUUCAUCUCUAUCUUUUGGUCAUCAUUGCCUUAUGAUGUCUUCCAUGCCACAUAGAACUUGUAUUAAAUUUGUAUGCUCAUC